AAGGGUUAAGGUUAUGGUUAGGUUUAGAAUAAGAGUUAGGGUAAAGGGUUAAGGUUAUGGUUAGGUUUAGAAUAAGAGUUAGGGUAAAGGGUUAAGGUUAUGGUUAGGUUUGGAAUAAGAGUUAGGGUAAAGGGUUAAGGUUAUGGUUAGGUUUAGAAUAAGAGUUAGGGUAAAGGGUUAAGGUUAUGGUUAGGUUUGGAAUAAGAGUUAGGGUAAAGGGUUAAGGUUAUGGUUAGGUUUGGAAUAAGAGUUAGGGUAAAGGGUUAAGGUUAUGGUUAGGUUUAGAAUAAGAGUUAGGGUAAAGGGUUAAGGUGAUGGUUAGGUUUAGAAUAAGAGUUAGGGUAAAGGGUUAAGGUUAUGGUUAGGUUUAGAAUAAGAGUUAGGGUAAAGGGUUAAGGUUAUGGUUAGGUUUAGAAUAAGAGUUAGGGUAAAGGGUUAAGGUUAUGGUUAGGUUUGGAAUAAGAGUUAGGGUAAAGGGUUAAGGUUAUGGUUAGGUUUGGAAUAAGAGUUAGGGUAAAGGGUUAAGGUUAUGGUUAGGUUUAGAAUAAGAGUUAGGGUAAAGGGUUAAGGUGAUGGUUAGGUUUAGAAUAAGAGUUAGGGUAAAGGGUUAAGGUUAUGGUUAGGUUUAGAAUAAGAGUUAGGGUAAAGGGUUAAGGUUAUGGUUAGGUUUAGAAUAAGAGUUAGGGUAAAGGGUUAAGGUUAUGGUUAGGUUUGGAAUAAGAGUUAGGGUAAAGGGUUAAGGUUAUGGUUAGGUUUAGAAUAAGAGUUAGGGUAAAGGGUUAAGGUUAUGGUUAGGUUUGGAAUAAGAGUUAGGGUAAAGGGUUAAGGUUAUGGUUAGGUUUGGAAUAAGAGUUAGGGUAAAGGGUUAAGGUUAUGGUUAGGUUAUGGUUAGGUUUGGAAUAAGAGUUAGGGUAAAGGGUUAAGGUGAUGGUUAGGUUUAGAAUAAGAGUUAGGGUAAAGGGUUAAGGUUAUGGUUAGGUUUAGAAUAAGAGUUAGGGUAAAGGGUUAAGGUGAUGGUUAGGUUUAGAAUAAGAGUUAGGGUAAAGGGUUAAGGUUAUGGUUAGGUUUAGAAUAAGAGUUAGGGUAAAGGGUUAAGGUUAUGGUUAGGUUUAGAAUAAGAGUUAGGGUAAAGGGUUAAGGUUAUGGUUAGGUUUGGAAUAAGAGUUAGGGUAAAGGGUUAAGGUUAUGGUUAGGUUUGGAAUAAGAGUUAGGGUAAAGGGUUAAGGUUAUGGUUAGGUUUAGAAUAAGAGUUAGGGUAAAGGGUUAAGGUGAUGGUUAGGUUUAGAAUAAGAGUUAGGGUAAAGGGUUAAGGUUAUGGUUAGGUUUAGAAUAAGAGUUAGGGUAAAGGGUUAAGGUUAUGGUUAGGUUUGGAAUAAGAGUUAGGGUAAAGGGUUAAGGUUAUGGUUAGGUUUAGAAUAAGAGUUAGGGUAAAGGGUUAAGGUUAUGGUUAGGUUUGGAAUAAGAGUUAGGGUAAAGGGUUAAGGUUAUGGUUAGGUUUAGAAUAAGAGUUAGGGUAAAGGGUUAAGGUUAUGGUUAGGUUUAGAAUAAGAGUUAGGGUAAAGGGUUAAGGUGAUGGUUAGGUUUAGAAUAAGAGUUAGGGUAAAGGGUUAAGGUUAUGGUUAGGUUUAGAAUAAGAGUUAGGGUAAAGGGUUAAGGUUAUGGUUAGGUUUGGAAUAAGAGUUAGGGUAAAGGGUUAAGGUUAUGGUUAGGUUUAGAAUAAGAGUUAGGGUAAAGGGUUAAGGUUAUGGUUAGGUUUGGAAUAAGAGUUAGGGUAAAGGGUUAAGGUGAUGGUUAGGUUUAGAAUAAGAGUUAGGGUAAAGGGUUAAGGUUAUGGUUAGGUUUAGAAUAAGAGUUAGGGUAAAGGGUUAAGGUGAUGGUUAGGUAUGGAAUAAGAGUUAGGGUAAAGGGUUAAGGUUAUGGUUAGGUUUAGAAUAAGAGUUAGGGUAAAGGGUUAAGGUUAUGGUUAG